GGCAAGAUGGCCGAGCGGUCUAAGGCGCCGCACUCAAGUUUCACAACUUAUCACAUCAAAUGUGGUUUGCGGUCUCGAAAGAGGCGUGGGUUCAAAUCCCACUCUUGUCA
rnacentral:tRNA from 1 species